rnacentral:tRNA from 1 species
GGCUACGGAGCACGGCGGACGUGAAGCUCCCUGACCAGGGAGACGGAAGCGGGUUCGACUCCCGUGGUAGCCACCA